rnacentral:rRNA from 1 species
UACAGAGGAUGCAAGCGUUAUCCGGAAUCAUUGGGCGUAAAGAGCUCGUAGGCGGUUUGUCGCGUCUGCUGUGAAAACUCGGGGCUUAACUCCGGGCCUGCAGUGGGUACGGGCAGACUAGAGUGCGGUAGGGGAGACUGGAAUUCACGGUGUAGCAGUGAAAUGCGUAGAUAUCGUGAGGAAGACCAGUGGCGAAGGCGGGUCUCUGGACAGUUCCUGACACUGAGGCACGAAGGCCAGGGGAGCAAACGGG